rnacentral:lncRNA from 1 species
UAUUCAUAAUAACUAAACUAAUAAUCCUAAUCACACACUAAACCUACCAAGUGUGCUAGUAUCUUCCUAAAGAGGUUGUAUUAUUCUAUAAAUAUGACGCCUCAUUUUAGACAAGUGUGAAGUGUAGAGAAACAAAACAAAUAAGAAAGAAGAAGUAGAGAGUGUUCGGUGAGGAGUGUGAAAGGUCCAAAUGACCAAAUUGUAAUAUCCAUAAAAUUGAGUGAUUAAUCGAAUGAGUUAUCAAAAUACUAUCUUUUCGAUCUUAAAUUUCACUAUAUUUCCGCUAACGCCCCAACAAAUUCGGUAUCAUAGCUAAAGUUACACUGAGUAUGCUCUGUGGUUGCGGUUUUAAUAACUGAUCUUCCACAUCAGAAAAGUUACACUUUAGUACUUUGAUAACCAUAUUAUAACAUACCCUCUCAAAACACUCUCAAAACCUCUACCAAAAAAAUCCCUUCUAAAUCCUAUGGCAGCGCCCAUCGUCAAGUUCCAUGUUCGCCAACUCUCCAAAUCAAAUCCCAAUUUUUGAUGGAGAAUUAUACGAAUAUUGGAAAGCACAAAUGGAGACUAUCUUCAUUUCGCAAGACUUGUGGGAUAUUGUUCAAGAAGGUAUCAAACAAUCACCACAAGAGAACAAUUCCACAUCAACAAAAAAGGCGGAAUCGACAAAAGAUGACAAUCCAAAAACAAGCGGGACGAAGACGAAGGAGCAUAAGGAGAAUAUCAAGAGGAACGCCAGCACAUUGAAGAUAAUUCAGCAAGCUGUAAGCAAAAUAAUUUUAUGAGAAUUUUUGCAUCAAAUCAGCCAAAGAAGUUUGGAAAGUCCUGAAAGGCGAAUUUCAAGGUUUCGAGAAGGCAAUCUCCAUAAAAUGCCAAAAUCUAUAUCGUCAAUUCGACAACCUAGCGAUGAAGGAAGGCGAAAGCAUCAAAAACUUUCAUUCUCGUGUUACAGAGAUAGUAAACCAGAUCAAAGUCACUAGAGAGGCUAUCGACGAGAAGAAGAUCGUGGAGAGGAUCAUCUGCAGCCUAACGCCGAAGUUCGACCAUGUCGUCGCUGUCAUAGAAGAAACUAAAGAUUUUGGAAAAUUACCCAUGACGGAGCUUAUGGGAUUACUUGUAGCUCACGAGCAGAGAUUGAGCCGGUUUACCAACCAACAACUCGAGCAAACUUUUCAAUCCAAGGUCCACGUCAAAGGAGACAAAUCAGCAAAUUAGUAGCAUAACCUCAAAGGGGAAAGGAGGAAAACCACAAAAAAAACAACAACUGGAGCCAGAAUCAGGAGAAAUCAAGUAACUCAACGACAGAUGCAAAAUUUGUAAAAAAUCUAACCAUGCUACCAAAGAAUGUAGGUUCAGGUGCACCAAGUACAAAAUUCAAAAUCACUCUCAAAGAGAUUUCUGAUUCUAGAUCAAGAAAGAAGAAGGCGAAUCAAGCUUCACACAGAAUGACAAAAAAAACUGAUCGCAUACACUUGCUUCAAAGCCGAGCAAAAAUCUCGACUUCCAUGGGUGGUGGACAGUGGUUGCAGUAAUCACAUGACUGGAGAUCGAGAGUCCUUCACCGAGAUGGAUGAUACAUAUAAGUUCCACGUGAAGAUUGGAGAUGGUAAAAAGCUGGAAGUUGAAGGAAAGGGUACAAUCAUCGUACAAAAAAAGGGAGGUAACAAAACUCUAAUCUAAGAAGUUCUGCACGUUCCUGAAUUAGCUCAAAAUCUUAUGAGUGUUGGACAACUAAUGUUUAAAAAUACAAGCUAUUGUUUGAUAACAGAGAAUGUGAGAUUAUCAACAAAGCCAACAACUCGAAAGUGGCAAAAAUCCUGAUGACGUCCAACAAGAUGUUUCCUUUCGCAAUGAAAGAAGAAUGAAGAAAUAGGAAUGAAGAGCCAAAGUAUUGAUGAAUGAUUCAUAUGGCAUCUCCGAUAUGGACACCUAAACUACAAAGGGCUUCAAUUACUGAAGUAGAAAAAUAUGAUGGUUGGUCUUCCCCAAAUCAACAGAGAAGACAAGGUCUAUGAAGGAUGCAUAUAUGGCAAAAUGCAUUGCUUAUCAUUUUCAAAAACUACUUGGAGAGCAAAAGCACCAUUAGAGUUGGUACAUGCUGAUAUUUAUGGACCAACCAGAACAACAUCCAUACGUAAGAGAUACAUUCUACUAUUUGUGAAUUAUUAUACUAGAAUGAUGUGGGUAUUAUUUCUUGAGCAAAAGUCAGAAGGUUUCUCCAAGUUCCUUCAAUUCAAAGGAACAGCUGAGAAGGAAAGCGAGCAUCAAAUUAAGACACUCUGAACAGAUCGUGAUGGAGAGUUUAUCUACAAACCAUUUAUGGAGUACUUUCGCACCAAUAGAAAAUCAAGAAGCAGUUGACAGUGCGGUACACACAACAACAACAACAACAACAACAACAACAACAAAAUGGCGUAGCAGAACGAAAGAACCGUAUAAUUGUGGAGAUGUCAAGAAGCAUGAUGACUGCUAAGAAAGUUCCCAACCAACUAUGGGCAGAAAGCUGUCAAUACAACAAUCUACAUCCUCAACAGAUCACCAACCAAAGCAGUGAAGAACAAAACACCUUUUCAAGCAUGACACCACAAAAGGCCGCAAGUAGAUCACCUCAAAGUAUUCAGAUCCAUAGCUUAUACACUCAUCUCUACCCUAAAUCGAGACAAGUUCGACCAGAAAGGAGAGAAACUCAUCUUCAUCAGAUAGCGAUGAAUCCAAAGGCUAUAGACUCUGCAAUCCAUUAAAGAACGAAGUGGUGAUUUCACGAGAAUCUUCAACAAAAUGGCCGAAUGGAGUUGGGAAACUCAGGAUAUUCAACCUUCAUAAAAAAUGAGAUCUUGGAGAAUCCAACAACUACACCAACAACACCAAAUGAGGCGGGUCAAAAUCCAAGCCAAGGAAGAAGUCCAACAACGAAUCCAACGAGAGACAACUUCAGAGACGUCAUGACAGAUUUAGAUUCACCUCCAUUAAAGGUCAGAUCCUUAACAGAAAUUUAUGAAUCAAGUCACGUAACAUAUUUUUCUUGUGAACCUUAUACAUUUGAAGAAGCAGCAAAAGACAAAGUCUGGACAGAAGCAAUGGACACGGAGAUCUCAAUGAUCGAGAAGAACAAGACUUGUGAGCUCAUGGACAAACCAAAAGAUAAGUCGGUCAUAGGUCUAAAAUGGAUAUACAGUACCAAAUUUAACGAAGACGGUUUCAUCCAUAAGCACAAAGCGAGAUUGGUGGCAAAAGGCUAUUCACAACUGUCUGGCAUCGACUUUCACUAAACCUACGCACCAGUAGCGCGGAUGGAGACCAUCAGAACAGUCAUAGCACUAGCAGCUCAAAUGGAGUUACCAAUAUUUCAGCGAGACGUCAAGUCAGCAUUCCCCAAUGAAACACUAGAAGAAGAAGUCUAUGUGGAACAACCACGAGGAUACGAGAAGAAAAGAGAAGAAGACAAAGUCUAUCGACUCAAAAAGGCGCUCUAGGGACUCAAACAAGCACCACGAGCAGGGAACAACAGAAUUUAUUGAUACUUUCAAGACAACGGAUUCCAAAGAAGUCCAAGUGAAGCAUUUCUCUACAUCAAAAAGGGGAAAAAACUUUCUUAUUGUGUGCUUAUAUGUUGAUGACUUAAUCUAUAUAGUCACAAGUCCACAAAUGAUUGAAGAAUUCAAAAGGGCAAUGAUGUCAGAGUUCGAAAUGAUUGACUUGGGACUCAUGAAGUAUUUCUUGGGAAUUCAAGUGAAGCAGAAACCUGGAGAAAUAUUCAUCUCUCAAGAGAAGUAUACUGAAGACAUGUUAAAGAGAUUUCACAUGGCAUCGUGCAAGCCCAUAGCGACACCAAUAGCGUUGAACGAGAAACGGCAACAAGUUGAUGGAGUAGAAAAAGUUGACGGAAAAAUUUACCGAAGCCUAGUUGGAUCGCUCAUAUAUCUGACACACACAAGACCAGAUAUAUGUCACUCAGUAAGUCUCAUUUCAAGAUUUAUGAGUGAGCCUAGAAAACUUCAUUUUGCAGCAGCGAAGAGAAUCCUACGAUACCUCCAAGGCACUAAACAAUUGGGCCGAAGGUAUAAGAAGGAAGAAGGAAGCAAGCUAAUGGGAUACACCGAUAGUGACUGGGCAGGAUCACUACCUGGGCGGGAUCCGUAGAUGACCGAAAGAGUACAUGUGGUUACAUUUUUUGCCUAGGUACAAAACCUAUUUCCUGGAGCUCAAAGAAGCAGAAGACUGUGGCAUUAUCAUCAGCGGAAGCCGAAUAUAUUGCAGCUACAGAUGUAGCAUGCGAGGCAGUAUGGGUAAAAAGAUUAAUUGAAGACUUGCAACAAGGUGAUAAUGAACCAAUCAUUAUUUACCUUGAUAACAUGUCAGCCAUAGCCAUGACGAAGAAUCGAGUAUUUCACGCAAAGUCGAAGCAUAUCGAGUUACGACAUCAUUUCAUACGAGAUCUAGUCAACAACGGAGAAAUCACAAUGGAUUCAUCAACACGAAUGAUCAGCCGGCAGAUAUCAUGAGGAAGGCAGUUGCGACGGACAAACUCGAGAAGUUCAAACACCUACUCCAAAUUGCAAAUUAAGAGGUUGUAUUAUCCUAUAAAUAUGAAGUCUCACUUUAGGCAAUUGUGAAGUGUAGAGAAACAAAACAAAUAAGAAAGAAGAAGUAGAGAGUGUUUGGUGAGGAGUUUGAAAGGUCUAAGUUACCAAAUUGUACUAUCCAUAAAAUUGAGUAAUUAAUCGAGCGAGUUACCAAAAUACUAUCUUUUCGAUUCUAAAUUCUACUACAUUUCCGCUAGCGCCUCAACAUAAUCAAUAAUACAUCGAUAAAUUAAGUCAUGUAAAGAAAAAAGAAUUGCCGGCAACAAUCAUAAAAGCGGAUGUUACAGGUGGCCACAUCAGUGGACCCCGAUAACUGCUUCAAUUGAUAAAUUGUUUACCCUCUAGAGCAAAUUUGUGACAUAGAUGUCAUCAAGUCCAUAACAAUAAGGAAAAGGAAAUAACUAGAGACAGAUAUUGAAGGGUAUGGCCGAGAAAAUAACAUGCAAGACUCAAAUAUGACAAAUAAACGAAAUGUAUCACGUGUGGUUAUUAUAAAAACCAAAGGACAACCGAGAAGAACGUAGGAGCUAUCUCCAAUUUACAAAUAUAAACACUAUUCUACCUCCACUACAAUAUUAAAUCAAAUAAUCUACUAACGGCUACUUCACAAUGUAAUCAAUUACUAUCUUCCUCCAGAUUCAAGAUCUAGCGAUGUAAAUUCAAGAUCUGCAUUCGGCCUACGAACUUGCUCGUGUCGUUCUACCAUAGCUUCAACGUUGUUAUUACUGUUGUUAUAGUUAUUAUUGUGAUUAUGAGCAUCAUCUCGAUCACCUGACCGUGAGUCCUCCAGCGCCUGGAAAUAUGCAUAUGGCCCCCACCCUGCAACAUUUCGACAACAAUAGCAAAAUGAUAAGACAAACAUUUAGAGACUCUGCAACAAGAAUUUGACUUGGUCUCUGAUUCAAAUAAAGAUUUCACCAUCACUGUGGUAAGGCGCUGGGAAGAACUGUCUGUAGCAAAGGGUUGCAACCACAAGUCCUAAUAUAGAUCCAGCAAAAACGUCCUGCCAAUGAUGUCGAUAGUCGUCAACUCGGGAUAUCGCGACAAGAGCUGCAGCAAGGAGAGGGAAUAUGACAAUGCAUAGCUUCCCCACGUGACCUUGCCUGUCAAACACUUUGAUCUUGCCACUUAAAUACAGAGAAAGAAACCCUAAUCCAGCAAACGACCCUGCAUAUGUGUACAUAUGUUAUGGACAGUUUGAUUCAAAUCUUUCUACUUUUAACUUUCAACAUAUAAUUGCAUAAGGAUAAUAUAUCAUUUUGGUUGGCUUACAGGAAGCAUGGCCACUGGGAAAGCUCUUAUGUCCUUCUCUUAUCUCCUUGCCUUUGCCAUGACAUAUUACAUCUCCCAAUUGAUCAUAAAGCUAUAUUACAAGAACCAGAUUUAGCAAGAAGGAAUAAUUCAGAAGUACCAGAAGAAAAGGAAUAGAAGAAGAAGAAGAAACAUACAUCCUUGCCAUCAGGGAAGCAACGCCAGAAGAAGUCGGGCCUCGGCCUCCCAGUCGCAAGUUUUAUGGCAUCGGUAAGGACUGCAGUGAUUGCUACGGUGAAAAAGAGGCCUGCAAAAGUUCAAUUGACCAAAAAAGAAACAACCUAGUUGAGAUUCAUUCAAGCAAGCCCUUCUUCAUUAAUAUUACUUAAAACACUUGUGAUGAAAUUAUAGAGUACCUAAAAUGGCAUGGUGGAGAUCAAAGACACAUCUUCUCCGGUAGUAGAAAAAAAUGAAGACUAGAAUUGGCAACAGAACUGCAUAUAGCUGUAUAACUCAUCAAAAAAAGAAAGCACAAAUAAGCAAUUUUUUGUCUGAACCAAGGUGUUCACUGCUAAACUGAGAGAAGCAAGAAACAGCAUAUCAACACAUGACUUUUCCUUCUUCGAUGUUUAUGAAACCUUAUCGGAUUAACAGUAAUGAUUUGAAAACAGUUGAAAACACAGAACGAAAACUGUAAAACAAUCAAGAUAAAGCCAUGAAAAGAUAUGAGAGUUUUACGUGAAAGGCAAAAGGAGGAAUUGAUAGAAAAGGGAGAAGACUCACAGCGAUGGACCAAGUGGGGACGGUGUUUUCCUUCAAGGGGUAUCUGAUAUCAACCAUCAUGUCCUUGCCAACGAACCGAUAGAAAGGAUGGAUGGUUAACAAAAUGAUCUCCACCACACCAAGCAACACCAAUGCGAGCCAAUCGUACAUGUGGUUCCUGGCAACUCUACCUCCAUGGCUUUUGAUUGUGUGAGCACCCAGAUCCACUUCUCUCAUCCUCCUACCCCCUCCUUGCUGCUCUUCCUGCUCGGCCUGCCGCUGCUUUUUUUCACAAACACAAGUUCAGGAAACCCAGAAGUUGUAAAAUCUAUGUUGUUACAUCAUAUAGUGGAGCAAUAAAGCAAAUAACUGACCUGAAAGAUGCCACGGAUCCAACCCAGACCCAUUUACCAAUAUCCUUAUCACCCAGAAGGGAAAAUACAAACGGGGAUUUUGGAAACAGAGGAGAAUCCCAGGCGAUAAGAAAGGCGAACCCCAACCGACUGGUUAUCGCCCCAUCCGACUGGUUAUCGUCGGGACCCGCUGGCUCCAAAAUGCAAAGAGGUUUAAAAAAUAAAACCCCUUCUCCGGUUAUUCGUCUGUUUCUUCUUUGCUGGAUUGGUUUCGGCGGCAACGGAGAUCGUGGAAGGAUGAAAGGACAAAAUUCAAAGAGACGGUUAUGAAUCAGAAAGAUUACGGAAAUUGAUUAUGGAAACGGUUGGGGUUUGUUUUGGUGGGGUUUAAAUAAUGAUAAAUAAACAAAUUCGGUUUUGGCGCCGGCCGGUUUUCGUAUUUUGACUUCCUGCAACGUUAGGUGACCUGGUCUAGCCCAUCCACUUUCGUUGACAGUUCCAGGAGUUCUAGAAUUUUUUUUAUUAAACGAAAGUUCCGGUGUGGCGAGUGGUGACGGGGAUGUAUCAGGCGUCAAUCGAACACGGCAACACGCAGGAGAUUGAUUAGACUUACUUAAGAGUUGCCUGCUCAAAAUUAAGUCCAAUGCUUAAAACUUUUUUUUCCAAAGCGAGCUUACUUGGUGUUCAGUGAAAAGAUCAAAUAUAUUGAAAUAGACAGUCAAUUUGUUCGAGGGAGGGUGACUAUCAAGGUAAUAGUAUAACCAAUUAAGAUUAGUCCGAACGAUUACAUAUAAUACAUUUUUCACUAAAGCACUUGGAAACGAUAGGUUGUGUAUCUGUUAGAUGUUCCCGAUAUUCACGUUCUAAUUUAAGGAGAAGCGUUAACAGUAAUAGUGUAAUUUACAUAUUAGCGUAGAAUCAGUUGAAUGGACCGAACGUUGUUAAGAAACCCUGUCGUUCAUGAUAUUCACACUUCAAUUUGAGGAGGAGUCUUAAAAGAUGAGUAAUAGCGUAAUUACCAAAUUAAUAUAGAAUCAGUUUAAUGGGCCGAGCGUUGUUGAGAAAUCCUGUCAUUCACGAUAUUCACGCUCUAAUUUGAGGAGGAGCAUUAAAAGUAAUAGCAUAAUUACCAUAUCAGCAUAAAAUCAACUUAACGGGUCGGACGUUGUUGAAAAAUCCAAAAAAACCGACGGUUACACAAUAUAUAUAUAUAUAUAGCCCCAUAAACUCUACUGUCGCACCUCAUCAAUACUCGAGCGUUGUUAAAACCGUAGAAAGCACUCAGUUACGCCUAUAUAUAAUUUCGAAAACCCCACCACCGCACAUCACCAAUAUCAAACACUCUUCUACUCCUCGGAAUAAUCGCCAGAACCAAGCUAAAUCUUGUGUUUUUUAUUCCGUCCCCACUCCAAUUUCAUUAAAAAGACUAAGAUGAUAAAGAAAUGUAAAGUUGGCAUUGCAACUCUAUAGCUGAAACCCAAAUCUUAUCGAUCAUCGGCUCCAAAAUCUAAUCUCUCAUCUCGCCAUCGAUUGGUAAUUGAUAUCGUCAACCCAUCCUGGUUUCUAAUUAAUGAUUAUAGGCAAAACUUUAGUCUCCAAAUUCUUUUAAUUAUUAUUCCUUGUUUAAACUCUUGGAAUCAAAUUGAGAAAUUCCAUUCAUGGUGGUUCUCGGCCCUAACCUUGUUACAACCUAUUGAUUUUGUUUCGUGUAGCAGCGUAGAGAUGACACCUUUUCAAAUUCUUGACUGGAUGAUGGCUUGUUUUUAUACUAAUAAGAGCAAAUUCUUCAUAGCUAUCCACGAGAAAAUGCUAUUGGAUCUUUUCGAACCAUUUUUUUCAAUUGAGGUCUUGAAAAUUCCAGUAAGCAAAAACGAUUAUGUACAUCUUGCCAGAUGGCUGGUGAAUGAAUCGAAAGGGGGACUCUGCAGCUUCGGAGAAACGGUAGCCGGGAGGCGUACUUGAAAUACAACGGUGGUUUUUGAUAGCCUACUGUUUAUCAUGGCAGGAAAGGACAUGUCAUCCGUGCUGGCAUGGAAGGACUCACUCGACUGAUCAUUGUGGUAUGCAAUACAACUGAACGUUCACGAAGUUGGUUCUGUCGGCAUAACGUACGAGUGUUUUUUGCUACUGAUGCAGCACAGCUCAAAGUCGUUGGCUACCAGGUCUUUGCUAUCAGUCUGGAAAAACUCGUUAUGACCAGAGAACUGAAUUUGUGAGCCUACAGCUGUAUUGCACACCACAAUGAUCAGUCAAGUGCGUCCUUCUGUCAUCAUGGAUGACAAGUCCUUGAGCAACAUGAGUUUAGCAAAUCACCAUCGGGUUUCAGGUAUGGCUUUCCAAACUGCACACUCCCCAUUUGAUCCAUUCUCUCUCUCUCUCUUUCUCUCUGGCUGUGGAGAGAUGUUUCAAUAUGAGCUGAUUUCAUUGCCUCCCAUAAGUUUAGCAAAAGAUGUAGGACGACUGCCGUUGAUCUUGAACAUAUUGGUAAGUACUUGUGCCACCUUGUUUGCUAGCGUCACUUCAACUGCCCUAAUGCUACAGAAACUACUAAUCCUCCUUUUUGCUGCAGAUCCGCAGAGAUUAUGGUACAUUGGUUUAGGUGCUGGCGGAUACUGUAGAAACUCACCCUACUUUUUGCUUUAAACUUACCUGCAGUGUCCUGAACUAGCAGCUUAAUUUCCCUUUUGGUUUAUGCUUCACGGCGUGAUGGUUAUGCUUGCUGCAAGAAAAGAUGGGGGGAUAAAUUCUGUAGUUGGUGAUAAAACGUAUAGAAGAGAUUUCGAAACACAAGAAUUUAACGUGGUUUUUGACCGUUAGGCCGACUAAUUUACGGGAGAAGAAGAAGAUUUUAUUGCUUGAGAGCAUACGAGAGACGAGGAACUUGAUUACAGCAACAGAGGUUUUAACCUCUAUAUAUACAGAUCGGCCGACCAAUUAGGGUAUUUAUCAAUACAACAAUAUUACUAAAAUACCCUAAUUUAAUUUAGCCGUAUACUUAACAACACCCUCAAAUUGAUGAUGGCUGUGUCACAUCAAUUUGGUAGACAAGAAUCAAUGACGGCUAGUAGUAACAGCUUUAGUCAAGAGAUCAGCAAUCUGGUCUUUAGAUGUUAUAUAGAAAAGCUUAAUAUCACCAGUUUGAACCAAAUCUCGAAUAUAAUAUAUAUGAGACUCAAUAUGUUUUGUCUUGUCAUGAAGAAUUGGGUUGGUUGCAAUCUGAAUUGCACUAGUAUUAUCACCAAGCCGAAGAAAUAUGCAAGGUCACCAAGCUCCUUCAUGUGAAAAUGAGAAUUGAGGAUCUGCUGAAUUUGAGUGAUACCACUCGAGUCACUACUCGUAAGAAUCAUAUCAUCAACGUAAAACAAAAGAAGGAUAAUGAUGCCUUGAGAAGUGACCCUUGUAAGUCUAAUAGCUUACGCUGACUCGAGUUUAGUAGUGGCUUAUGGUCCAACAUCUCUAGUCGAAUGUUGAAGUGGAGUCGUUAUUGCGGUGUGCUGGCAACUCGAAUGUUUCGGAUUCGAAUCUAACACAACUACAAACAGACAUCGUUAUAAUAAUGUUUAUUUUCGGUUUUUAUUUUAUAUUGACCAAAAAAAUUUAAGAGUGUAUAGCGGUUAAAAUUAUGAUGUGUGACUACAAAAUAGCAAAAUAGUAAAAUUCUCGCAGGUAAUUGUUGGUGAAAUAAGGUAAAGAGAUCCGAAAUGUUAGGCAAGUUUUACUGAUUCGUUCACCAAUUCUAAGCCACAAAGAGAGAAUAGAAUGAACAAAUACCACUUCAGUCAUCAGGUCAGAAGUGAAGUGAGAGGAAGAAAUAUAAAAAACGGAAAUGAAAACAGUAAAACAGUAAAAUUAGAGAUCCGGAAAAUCAAAACCCGAACGCUGAUCAGCUGUAAAAAUUAUAUAGGAGCCAAGUAGCUCACUUCCACAAACCCUACCCAAACAGAACAAUACCUUCUCCAUUUUCUCGCUGAAUCCCCUCUACCAUGGCUUCACGCAGAAUCUUAUCGUCACUUCUCCGAUCGGCUUCACGCCGAUCUGCAUCAUCUUCCAACCCUAAGCUAUUCUCUCCAUCCCCGGUCUCCGCUCGCCGCGCAUCUCCCUAUGGCCACCUCCUCAACCGUACAUCUGAGUACGCUACCUCCGCACCCGCCCCCCCCGCCCCCUCGCACACGGUGCUGGAUAACUCGAUCCGUCUUGUGCUCGAAGUCGCCCAGCAUUUGGGAGAAAACAUGGUCAGAACCAUUGCUAUGGAUGGUACUGAAGGUUUGGUCAGAGGCCAGCGCGUUCUCAACACUGGUUCUCCCAUCACUGUAAGCCGAUCUUCUCGAUUUCUCUCAUUUUCUCUAAUUUUCUCUAAUUUAAUUCAUUUAUCGAUUUCUUAGAUAAUCGUUUUCGGUUUUUCUAGCUUGAGAUUGACUGGGGUUGUCUCUUAGCUCCUUUUUGAAUUUAGGGAUCUGAUCGGUUCAUGUUCUCUGGAUCUAGAUAAAUCAUGAGAUUAGAAAUCCUGGAAAUGAGGGUAUGACUAUGAUCUCCCGGAUAGUCAACGCUGAUUAUAGUUUGCGAACUUAGUUUAUGUUAUGUGUUUUUUUUAUUGUUGGAUUCCACCUUGAUGGUGUGCUUUUUCUUCCCAAAUCGGCGUUUGCUCUAUUAUUCCCAAGCCCUGUGUCUAUUGCUUUCCAAUGUGUGUUUCCUGAGGCAAUUUGACCCUCAAAUUAUUGGGAUUAUUCCUCUGUUUCCUUGUCCGUGUGCAGAGUUUAAAUCAUGAGUUUCACCUGAUCAUUUGCGUUUCUAAAUAGGUGCCAGUGGGCAGGGCUACUCUUGGCCGCAUUAUGAAUGUUAUUGGAGAGCCUAUUGAUGAGAAGGGCGAAAUCUGUGAGAACUAGUCUCUGGAAUUUUUUUAAUUUUGUGGAGAAUUGAGGUUGGGGAUUGAGGGUUUGAUUUGUUAAUGCCAUUUGUUCAUCAGCAACCGAGCACUUCUUGCCUAUCCAUAGAGAAGCUCCAUCCUUUGUUGAGCAGGCCACUGAGCAGCAAAUCCUUGUGACUGGUAUCAAGGUACUGCUAUACUAGCUGGAAACUAUCUAUUGGAUUUUAAAGAUAUCUUUCUAGCUUGUUUUCUUACUUUUUGGUAUUGGUCUGAUACAGGACUUGGAUAUUGAUUAUUUGCUGCUUUUAUUUCCUUGCAGGUUGUCGAUCUCCUUGCUCCAUACCAGAGGGGAGGCAAGAUUGGUCUUUUUGGUGGUGCUGGUGUCGGAAAGACUGUUCUUAUUAUGGAACUGAUCAACAAUGUUGCCAAAGCCCAUGGUCUGCUGUUCUCCUUGAAAUUUUCCUCUCAGCUAGUUUCAUUUUUUAUCUGGAUUUCUGAUGUAGAUUGUGUGUACAGGUGGUUUCUCCGUCUUUGCUGGUGUUGGGGAGCGUACCCGUGAGGGUAAUGACUUGUACAGGGAAAUGAUUGAGAGUGGUGUCAUUAAGCUAGGCGAUAAGCAGGUCUGUAUGUCUUUCUUUCUUGUAGAAGCCUUCUUCAACGGUAUUGUUUUUUUCCAGUGCUAAGUUUGUUUGCUAAUGCAUGCCAGGCUGACAGCAAAUGUGCUCUUGUCUACGGUCAAAUGAAUGAGCCCCCGGGUGCUCGUGCUCGUGUUGGUCUCACUGGACUAACUGUUGCAGAACAUUUCCGUGAUGCUGAAGGUCAGGAUGUGCUGCUCUUUGUCGACAACAUUUUCCGCUUCACACAGGUGAAAAACAUUCUAAUGAGUGAUGACUCUUUCUUCUUCUCCUUCUAUAAUAGAAAUAGCUGUAACCUAUGUUUGGGGUUUUGCAUGUCAUUUAGGCUAACUCAGAAGUGUCUGCCUUGCUUGGUCGUAUCCCAUCUGCUGUCGGAUACCAACCAACUCUUGCUACCGAUCUUGGAGGACUCCAAGAGCGUAUUACCACCACCAAGAAGGGGUCCAUUACCUCUGUGCAAGCUAUUUAUGUGCCAGCUGAUGAUUUGACAGAUCCUGCUCCUGCUACCACCUUUGCACACUUGGAUGCCACAACUGUGUUGUCGCGACAGGUAAAAACUCAUGAACAAUGGAAAGACUCUACUCUACUGGAAUGUUAUGUUUACCUUGUAUUAAUAACUUUCCCCACUUGGCCCUCUUGAACAGAUCUCAGAGCUGGGUAUUUACCCUGCAGUGGAUCCCCUAGAUUCUACAUCCCGUAUGCUUUCUCCUCACAUCCUAGGAGAGGACCACUAUGGAACUGCUCGUGGCGUGCAAAAGGUUCUUCAGAACUACAAGAAUCUUCAGGAUAUCAUUGCUAUUUUGGGUAUGGAUGAGUUGAGUGAAGACGAUAAGUUGACUGUCGCCCGUGCCCGAAAGAUUCAAAGGUUCUUGAGCCAGCCGUUCCAUGUGGCUGAGGUCUUCACCGGUGCCCCCGGGAAGUACGUAGAGUUGAAGGAGAGCAUCCAAAGUUUCCAGGUAUGCAUUCCUUUCCAUUAGCUAUGUUGUGUUAAAUUAACCUUAAUUUUAAAAGUUAAGCUUUGAUAUUGUUGUUUUCCUCUGUCCUGAUGAUUCCGAUAAUGAAUAAAGCACAAGAUAGGGUGAGGGUGAUACUGGCUUGCCCAAGGAUGAUAUGUUCAAAUUUUUCGAGACAAAAAAAGAAUGCCAAACUGCUGGGAAGUUUCUCUUCUGCCUUUUGUUGUUCGAGAAACUUGACCGAAAUAGACGAUGGCAGUUCUGAAUAGUUUCCUCUUCUUUUGUUCCAAUUAUUCGUGGAGCCCGAUUGUAAAUUUUUUGUUAUGAAAAGGGGAAGAGUUGCUCUGCUCAUUUGUUUUCCCGUGGCAUUGCGUUUUGUCGAUGAUUUAUUAUACAGGUUUAAUACGAAAUUAUCUAGAUAGACUAGUCUGGAACCAAGUUCCACAAUUACAUGACUUUAAAAGCACACACCACUUGGCGCAGUUUUUAUUCUGUCUGUCGAAACUGGUGCGAAGUCGAAAAUUUCCAACAGAAAGUAACGGAUUUCGUAUAGUGAUACACCUUCUCACUCGCCUUGCACCAAUGCUUCGUAAACAAAAUUAAUAAAUCCCCCUAUCGGUUCCAUCCAACUAGACAUCAAUGAAGUUAUUUUGUAGUGUGAAGAAUGGUGAUCUGAAUGUACAACGCUCACUACGAAGGGAUGUUUUUGCAUAUACAUAACUGUAGGGGGCUGUGCUAUACCCCUGUAGUUCCAACCGAGAAUCAUUGGUGAGUGAGUGGCUUUAGAAAAACCGCCACCGCUGUUCCAGUUUGGUCGUCUGAGCUCGAGGCAUCCCCUGGUGUAAGCUACGGUCUUACUGGCCCGACUUUUCUCCGAGCUUUGGGAGGUUGUCCACCGACCACCCCGGCUGGAAGCCUUGGACUUCCCACAUAACACAAUCUGAACUUUGCCCCUUGAGACUUUCCGAAUUGCAAACAGUCCCUAUAAUUUUGACAUGUUGCUUACAGAACACUGACAUGUAUUUCUUGGUGAAAUAAGGAAACGAGUUCCGAGUUGUUAGGCAUUUUUGACUCAUUCGUUUACCAAUUCCAGGCCACAAACAGAAGACAAGAGCAAAUACCACAUCGUCCCCAAAACGACAAUAAGGGGCAAAUGUGAGAGAGGAAGAGAAGUAAAAUGGAAAUGAAAAUAGUAAAACAGUAAAGCAGUAAUAGUAAAAGUAGAGAUCCGGAAAAUUAACCUAAACGCUAAUCCGCUCCCCUGUAAAUUUUAUAGGAGAUCACUCCUUUACGAACCCUACCCAGACAGACACAACAAUCCCAUCUCUCCCCCCUCUGAUCUGAAGCCCCUCUACCAUGGCUUCACGCAGAAUCUUACCGUCACUUCUCCGUGCGGCAUCACGCCGAUCCCCUUCAUCUUCCAACCCCAAGCUAUUCUCUCCAUCCCCGGUCUCCGCUCGCCGCGCAUCUCCCUAUGGCCAUCUCCUCAACCGUACAUCUGAGUACGCUACCUCCGCCGCCGCUCCCGCAGCUCCCGCACAAUCGGCUCCUGUCACCGCCGGCGGAAAGGGAGGAGGCAAGAUAGUCGAUGAGUUCACUGGUAAAGGCGCGAUCGGGAAGGUCUGUCAGGUCAUUGGUGCCGUCGUCGAUGUCAGAUUCGACGAGGGUUUGCCUCCGAUCUUGACCGCUC